GAGUUUGAUUCUGGCUCAGGAUGAACGCUGGCGGCGUGCCUAACACAUGCAAGUCGAACGAAGCAUAUAGAAGGAAGUUUUCGGAUGGAAUUUUAUAUGACUUAGUGGCGGACGGGUGAGUAACGCGUGGAUAAUCUGCCUUACACAGCGGGAUAACAAGUGGAAACAGUUGCUAAUACCGCAUAAGCACACAGUAUCGCAUGAUACAGGGUGAAAAGAUUUAUCGGUGUAAGAUGAGUCCGCGUCCCAUUAGCUAGUUGGUGAGGUAAAAGCUUACCAAGGCGACGAUGGGUAGCCGGCCUGAGAGGGUGAACGGCCACAUUGGGACUGAGACACGGCCCAGACUCCUACGGGAGGCAGCAGUGGGGGAUAUUGCACAAUGGGCGAAAGCCUGAUGCAGCGACGCCGCGUGAAGGAUGAAGUAUUUCGGUAUGUAAACUUCUAUCAUCAGGGAAGAAAAGGACGUACCUGA
rnacentral:rRNA from 1 species